AACCCUCACCAUUCCUUCCAACUACCAUAACUUCCUCAUCUGGGCUCCGAUCGCCGCACCGUUCGCGGCCACGCGCUCAGUGCGUCGAGCUCUACCUUUCUAUCCGAACAAUUUCACUGGUUCAAGUUAGCUUCCGGAACUUGUGGGCUCAAGCUAUUGAGCAUAUGCGUAUGGUGUAGAUUAAGUGGGUAUAUAAGCAUUGGAAU